GACGAACGCUGGCGGCGUGCUUAACACAUGCAAGUCGAACGGAAAGGCCCUGCUUUUGUGGGGUGCUCGAGUGGCGAACGGGUGAGUAACACGUGAGUAACCUGCCCUUGACUUUGGGAUAACUUCAGGGAACUGGGGCUAAUACCGGAUAGGAGCUCCUGCUGCAUGGUGGGGGUUGGUAAGUUUCGGCGGUUGGGGAUGGACUCGCGGCUUAUCAGCUUGUUGGUGGGGUAGGUGCUUACCAAGGCUUUGACGGGUAGCCGGCCUGAGAGGGUGACCGGCCACAUUGGGCCUGAGAUACGGCCCAGACUCCUAUGGGAGGCAGCAGUGGGGAAUAUUGCACAAUGGGCGGAAGUCUGAUGCAGCAACGCCGCGUGCGGGAUGACGGCCUUCGGGUUGUAAACCGCUUUCGCCUGUGACGAAGCGUGAGUGACGGUAAUGGGUAAAGAAGCACCGGCUAACUACGUG
rnacentral:rRNA from 1 species